rnacentral:rRNA from 1 species
UACGUAGGGGGCAAGCGUUGUCCGGAAUCAUUGGGCGUAAAGAGCGUGUAGGCGGCCCGAUAAGUCCGCUGUGAAAGUCCAGGGCUCAACCCUGGGAUGCCGGUGGAUACUGUCGGGCUCGAGUCCGGAAGAGGAGUGUGGAAUUCCCGGUGUAGCGGUGAAAUGCGCAGAUAUCGGGAAGAACACCCGUGGCGAAGGCGGUUCUCUGGGACGGUACUGACGCUGAGACGCGAAAGCGUGGGGAGCGAACAGG